rnacentral:rRNA from 3 species
UGGGGGAUAUUGCACAAUGGGCGAAAGCCUGAUGCAGCGACGCCGCGUGGGGGAUGAAGGCCUUCGGGUUGUAAACUUCUUUUGCUCUGAACAAGGCGCACCAUGGGGUGUGUUGAGUGUAGGGGUUGAUUAGCGCCGGCUAACUACGUGCCAGCAGCCGCGGUAAUACGUAGGGCGCGAGCGUUGUCCGGAAUUAUUGGGCGUAAAGGGCUUGUAGGUGGCUGGUUGCGUCUGUCGUGAAAGCUCAUGGCUUAACUGUGGGUUUGCGGUGGGUACGGGCUGGCUUGAGUGCAGUAGGGGAGGCUGGAAUUCCUGGUGUAGCGGUGGAAUGCGCAGAUAUCAGGAGGAAUACCGGUGGCGAAGGCGGGUCUCUGGGCUGUUACUGACACUGAGGAGCGAAAGCAUGGGGAGCGAACAGG